ACGGGUGAGUAAUGUAUCGGAACAUGUCCGGAAGUGGGGGAUAACGUAGCGAAAGUUACGCUAAUACCGCAUAUGCCCUGAGGGGGAAAGGUGGGGAUCGUAAGACCUAUCGCUUUCGGAGUGGCCGAUAUCAGAUUAGCUAGUUGGUGGGGUAAAGGCCUACCAAGGCGACGAUCUGUAGCUGGUCUGAGAGGACGACCAGCCACACUGGGACUGAGACACGGCCCAGACUCCUACGGGAGGCAGCAGUGGGGAAUUUUGGACAAUGGGGGCAACCCUGAUCCAGCCAUGCCGCGUGAGUGAAGAAGGCCUUCGGGUUGUAAAGCUCUUUCGGACGGAAAGAAAUCGCCAUUUCUAAUACAAGUGGUGGAUGACGGUACCGUCAUAAGAAGCACCGGCUAACUACGUGCCAGCAGCCGCGGUAAUACGUAGGGUGCGAGCGUUAAUCGGAAUUACUGGGCGUAAAGCGUGCGCAGGCGGUUUUGUAAGACAGGUGUGAAAUCCCCGGGCUUAACCUGGGAACUGCAUUUGUGACUGCAAGGCUAGAGUGUGGCAGAGGGGGGUAGAAUUCCACGUGUAGCAGUGA
rnacentral:rRNA from 1 species